rnacentral:misc_RNA from 1 species
GAUGAAGAACGUAGCGAAAUGCGAUAAGUAAUGUGAAUUGCAGAAUUCAGUGAAUCAUCGAAUCUUUGAACGCACAUUGCGCCCGCCAGUAUUCUGGCGGGCAUGCCUGUUCGAGCGUCAUUUCAACCAUCAAGCCCCCGGCUUGUGUUGGGGACCUGCGGCUGCCGCAGGCCCUGAAAAGCAGUGGCGGGCUCGCUGUCACACCGAGCGUAGUAGCAUACAUCUCGCUCUGGGCGUGCUGCGGGUUCCGGCCGUUAAACCACCUUCAUAACCCAAGGUUGACCUCGGAUCAGGUUGGAAGACCCGCUGAACUUAAGCAUAUCAAUAAGCGGAGGA